rnacentral:rRNA from 1 species
CAGUCGCCGCGGUAAUACGUAGGUGGCAAGCGUUGUCCGGAAUUAUUGGGCGUAAAGGGCUCGCAGGCGGUUUCUUAAGUCUGAUGUGAAAGCCCCCGGCUCAACCGGGGAGGGUCAUUGGAAACUGGGAAACUUGAGUGCAGAAGAGGAGAGUGGAAUUCCACGUGUAGCGGUGAAAUGCGUAGAGACGUGGAGGAACACCAGUGGCGAAGGCGACUCUCUGGUCUGUAACUGACGCUGAGGAGCGAAAGCGUGGGGAGCGAACAGGAUUAGAUACCCGUGUAGUCCCUGUCUCUUAUAC